UGUGAAUGCAGGACACAUUGAACAUCGACACUUUGAACGCAUAUUGCGGCCAAGGGUCCGUCCUUUGGCCACGCCCGUCUGAGGGUCGGC
rnacentral:rRNA from 1 species